UAGAGUUUUUCAAACUCCCAACCCAUGUGAACUUACCACUGUUGCCUCGGCAGAGGCUACCCGGUACCUCCCUGGAACGGCCUACCCUGUAGCGCCCGACUCGGGUUACCCUGUAGCGGCUGCCGGUGGACCACUAAACUCUUGUUAUUUUAUUGUAAUCUGAGCGUCUUAUAUUAAUAAGUCA
rnacentral:misc_RNA from 1 species